CCUUGCCGGCGACCGGCGCACGGGUGAGUAACACGUAUGCAACCUGCCCUCUUCAGGGGGACAACCUUCCGAAAGGGAGGCUAAUCCCGCGUAUAUCGGUUUCGGGCAUCCGAGAUCGAGGAAAGAUUCAUCGGAAGAGGAUGGGCAUGCGGCGCAUUAGCUAGGACGGCGGGGUAACGGCCCACCGUGGCGACGAUGCGUAGGGGUUCUGGGAGGAAGGUCCCCCACACUGGUACUGAGACACGGACCAGACUCCUACGGGAGGCAGCAG
rnacentral:rRNA from 1 species